AUUGAACGCUGGCGGCAGGCCUAACACAUGCAAGUCGAGCGGAUGAAGGGAGCUUGCUCCUGGAUUCAGCGGCGGACGGGUGAGUAAUGCCUAUGAAUCUGCCUGGUAGUGGGGGAUAACGUCCGGAAACGGGCGCUAAUACCGCAUACGUCCUGAAGGAGAAAGUGGGGGAUCUUCGGACCUCACGCUAUCAGAUGAGCCUAGGUCGGAUUAGCUAGUUGGUGGGGUAAAGGCCUACCAAGGCGACGAUCCGUAACUGGUCUGAGAGGAUGAUCAGUCACACUGGAACUGAGACACGGUCCAGACUCCUACGGGAGGCAGCAGUGGGGAAUAUUGGACAAUGGGCGAAAGCCUGAUCCAGCCAUGCCGCGUGUGUGAAGAAGGUCUUCGGAUUGUAAAGCACUUUAAGUUGGGAGGAAGGGCAGUAAGUUAAUACCUUGCUGUUUUGACGUUACCAAAAGAAUAAGCACCGGCUAACUUCGUG
rnacentral:rRNA from 1 species